GGGUUUGGGUGGGAAGGCCAUAAAAGGGGAGAGUGACAAAUGGCAUUUCGAGAAAGGGCUUCUUCCCAAUUUUAAUGCAUUUCUUCUGAGAUUAUAACUAUGCUGAAUAUACAUUUUAUUUGCACGCUGUCUCCCCUUUUAAGAUCGAGCUUUAAAGAACAGACUUGUCUCUCGCUUUGUUUUUUGUUUCCUCCGCAAUUAGCACAUUGCUUCCCAUAUACUGAUAGCUAGGAUUUAUAUUGCUUUAAGAUCUGCACAGCGCUACACAAAUCUCUCAUUUUGCCCACAAAACGUGGGUGUUUGAGCAGAGGUCAAGCCCACCACCACCGAGUCUGCAGACCACAGCGGAGGGUGAGGGGAGGCAUCAAAAGGAGGCUCAUCCGUCUCACCGUCUGGAGCUCCAGGGGUACAUAACGUUCUCCAGGACGGUAGCGUCUUUAUUAACAGCACACAAAGGCAAACCCCCAGACGCUCUUCAGGCCCUGCUCAAGUCGGGCUCGCCUGGGUGUUGGUCCCUUCCCCCCACUCCCGGGCCGAGAAGCUACUUUUCAUUCGUUCUCAAUUACAACGACCCCCUGGGAGGUCAAGGCCCUUCCGGGUUCGGGGGACAGCCUUCGGGCGAUUUGUCUUUCACUUCUCCAGCCACUUCCUGCCCGAGUGUCCUCAGUUCCCGGCUGGAGAAGACCCUCAGGAAAGGGGGCUGGGAUCCACCUCCUCUCCGGGCCACCUCCCACGCCCUCUGCGUGCGCUCGACUUUUCUAGGUCCUAACUGCCGGCCCACCCACGCGAGGCUGAGAGGAGACACUGAGGGAAGGGGAGAGCAAAACCAGAAAAAAAAAAUACGAUAAAAUAACAUCUUUAGACGCAGAGCCGUUUCCUGCGUAGCUAGCCACUCAGCAUCCUGAGCCGAGCCCGCUGCCAUUAGUAAAGAUGGCGGCCCUUAGGCGGUAGCCCUUCCUCACGGAUAGAUUCCCGGGCAGGGCUAGACGAGGUUGGAGAGGUGGGGCGGCCGCCUCAGCCAUUCAUAGCUGAGAGCCUCCACGCGCCGCCAGCUGCCAUCACGACUUGACGCAUUGCAGAAGCUGCUGACAAGGGGGAGAAGGUGAUAAAGUGAAAAUGGCUGAAUGGAAAUCCAUGUCACCACUAUAAAAGCCAACUUAGAGGACCAGCUCCCAGCUAGAUAAGGUACCAAGUAUUCAAUGCUGCUAAGUAACUCUUUUGGUUUUCUAUUUUUAUUUAAGAUUUGAGAAACAGAAAUGUUUUAGUACUGUACCUAGAUCAAUCUGUAUAUGAA
rnacentral:lncRNA from 1 species